CAGCAGCCGCGGUAAUACGAAGGGUGCAAGCGUUAAUCGGAAUUACUGGGCGUAAAGCGUGCGUAGGCGGUGAGUUAAGUCUGCUGUGAAAUCCCCGGGCUCAACCUGGGAAUGGCAGUGGAUACUGGCUCGCUAGAGUGUGUCAGAGGAUGGUGGAAUUCCACGUGUAGCAGUGAAAUGCGUAGAGAUGUGGAGGAACACCGAUGGCGAAGGCAGCCCCCUGGGCCAAUACUGACGCUCAUGCACGAAAGCGUGGGGAGCAAACAGGAUUAGAUACCCCUGUAGUCCCUGUCUCUUAUAA
rnacentral:rRNA from 1 species